rnacentral:tRNA from 1 species
GCCUGGUUGGCUCAGCGGUUGAGCAUCUGUCUUUAGCUCAGGGUGUGAUCCUGGAGUCCCAGGAUCGAUCCUGCAUCGGGCU